CUCCAGCCAUCCUCCCACUCGAUUGAGACUUCCGAAAAUAUAAAACAAAGAGGAAAUACCAAACACAAAACCCCAGCCAUCGUCUAACCCUAUUCGGCCGCUCCAAGCCUCCCACCCGGUUGGGACUCCUGAGGAUGGAAAAAAGAGGGAAAACUGGGGGAAAACAAAGGAAAAAUCCACAAAAACAAAGGAAAGACGGAAAAAAUUUAAGGAAAUGAUGCUUGGCAGACUGAUCUAUCACAAAGAGUUGUUUGAACACACUCACAAGAGAAAAGAUGGUACCUUUACAUCUGAAAAAGCAAAGAUAGUGAGUGAGAAAUAUGAUACUAUCAUGCGACAGAAGUAUAGUGAGAACCUAUCUUCCCAUCUUUCUUUAGAUAAGGAGGCUUGGUUGGCUGCUGCAGGACCACCUAAAAAGGAUAGAGUGUUUGAAUUAGGUUAUGGCUUAGUUGCUCCUCCAUCUAAAUCCAACAAUACAUAAUCUCAAAAUAGCACUGUUGGAUGUGGUGUGCGCCACAUUCGAAUGAUGAGGUGACGAGGGAGAUGCAUUUUAUAUGGAAGAAUAUGGAUAAGUUAAAUUAGAAUAUUCAGACACAACAAAAUUUAAUAGAUCAGGUUCUUCUUGCACAACAGCAAUUUACAGAUUGGAUUCCUCAUGGCUUAUCUCAAUUGAUACAUCCACAACCACCACUUAUAUCACCUGGAUCGACAACUGAGCAUUCUCCUAGAUCUUCGAGUAUGACUCUGACUAGAGCUCCAUGGCGUUGGUCAUCUCUUUGGUGGGUUGUUCCUCUUGGAUGGAUGCCACCACAUCCAUACACUCUAUUGACAUUUCUUUCAGUGGCUCAAACUCCAACUCGACCUCAGGGCUCUAUUUUGGAGCAGCAUGCAUUGGAGGGAGAUAGAAGUGGACAUAGCUAUGGUGGAGGGGAUACACAUUUACGCACUUCAUAGUUUGUUGUGUGCUUUAUUAUGUGCCACUUGUCUUAUUUUAUAUACUUUAUUGUUUGUAUACUUCAUGUGUUUUGGACAUAUGUGAUUGACAUUAUAUGUAUUUUAUGUGCAUUUGCACAUACUUAUGGUCUUAUAAAAAUUAUAAUUUAUUGGUUUUGGAUAAAAUAUUAUAUAAUCUA